rnacentral:rRNA from 1 species
AACGAACGCUGGCGGCAGGCUUAACACAUGCAAGUCGAACGGGCACCUUCGGGUGUCAGUGGCAGACGGGUGAGUAACGCGUGGGAACCUACCCAGUGGUACGGAAUAACUCGGGGAAACCCGAGCUAAUACCGUAUACGCCCUCAGGGGGAAAGAUUUAUCGCCAUUGGAUGGGCCCGCGUCGGAUUAGCUAGUUGGUGAGGUAACGGCUCACCAAGGCGACGAUCCGUAGCUGGUCUGAGAGGAUGAUCAGCCACACUGGGACUGAGACACGGCCCAGACUCCUACGGGAGGCAGCAGUGGGGAAUAUUGGACAAUGGGCGAAAGCCUGAUCCAGCCAUGCCGCGUGAGUGAAGAAGGCCUUAGGGUUGUAAAGCUCUUUCGGCGGGGAAGAUAAUGACGGUACCCGCAGAAGAAGCCCCGGCUAACUCCGUGCCAGCAGCCGCGGUAAUACGGAGGGGGCUAGCGUUGUUCGGAAUUACUGGGCGUAAAGCGCACGUAGGCGGACUGCU